AGUGAACGCUGGCGGUAGGCCUAACACAUGCAAGUCGAACGGCAGCACAGUAAGAGCUUGCUCUUACGGGUGGCGAGUGGCGGACGGGUGAGGAAUACAUCGGAAUCUACUUUUUCGUGGGGGAUAACGUAGGGAAACUUACGCUAAUACCGCAUACGACCUACGGGUGAAAGCAGGGGAUCUUCGGACCUUGCGCGAUUGAAUGAGCCGAUGUCGGAUUAGCUAGUUGGCGGGGUAAAGGCCCACCAAGGCGACGAUCCGUAGCUGGUCUGAGAGGAUGAUAGCCACACUGGAACUGAGACACGGUCCAGACUCCUACGGGAGGCAGCAGUGGGGAAUAUUGGACAAUGGGCGCAAGCCUGAUCCAGCCAUACCGCGUGGGUGAAGAAGGCCUUCGGGUUGUAAAGCCCUUUUGUUGGGAAAGAAAAGCAGCAGGUUAAUACCCCGCUGUUCUGACGGUACCCAAAGAAUAAGCACCGGCUAACUUUGUG
rnacentral:rRNA from 1 species